CCCUUGAGCUCUGGCACAAGACGGCACGUCUGGAAGCCAGGUAGUCCUCAUGGUGACAGUAAGAUCCCUCCAAGAAUCAUCGGAGUGGGGGUGGGGAGAUUCAUUACUGAAGCGUCUUGUUCCCCACGAUUCAUUUUGCUUUUAUUUGGCUUCACGCAGCUCAGCACGCCUGGACUCAAGGAGGUGUUGCUACCAUUCGAAUUGUUGGCUUUUCUCCGGGAUUCACUUCUCUUCUCUCCAGGGAUUACCAAGCCUUUGAAGGGACCCGCUUCUCAAGGCUCAGAGUGUUUGAUUAAAUUGCUCGUUCCAGGUGUGCGCUUGGCCACAAGAUGAUACUUGAGAGGCUUGACUUCAAGAUUAUGAUCACCGUUGCGGGUGGCCUCCUGAUGGCCGCGAGCCUGCUGAUGUGCUUUAUCAUCUGUCUUAGCUACAAAGUGACAAAGUCAAUGAAGGGAGAGAAGAUGGAAAAUGUAACGAGCAAUGAUGCUGACAAAAAAGAUAAGAAACCCGCUUUGGAAGCAGGUCAACCUGAGGUUCCGCCAACUCCAGCGUCAAAGCCCCGGUGACAGUCUUGGAGAGAGAUGCCCUGGGGACCCUCAGUCCAGACAGGUGGGGCCCCGGCGUCUCCCAGCCACCGUGCUGCCUUGGGAAGCACAGUCAGCCCGGCUACCUCCCGACUCUGUCCCUUCAGUGUCCACGGUCCCUCGAGGGUAGGAGCCGCCUCUCACCCCCGGGGUCCCCGCACACAGCCCAGACUCCUUAGGUGUCAGGGGUAAUAACCCCCCGUCGCCUUUGCACCAGAUAAACCUCUCAGACACAGCAGUAAAUCAUGAAUAGCAUUAAUUUUGCUGACUGGUAAGAGUAUGUUACGCAUUAGGAUGUUUAGUAAAAUAAUUUCCUGCUACUUUAUUUUCUGAAAACCCAUAUAUAUCACAAUGUCUUUAUUUUACCACCCAUUCGCAUUUAACAUAAUUGCAUAAGCAUUUAACAUAAUAGCUGGCAUGGGGCUAUUAUUUUAACUCAUUAAGUGAGUUACUAUACGU
ensembl:lncRNA